rnacentral:rRNA from 1 species
UUAGAGACCGCCAGUGGGUUUAACCGCCCCUGGAGCCGUGCUUGCCAAUGGCCUAUAUUUAAACUAUUGCUGAAAUGUGGCGUCUUAUCAACAAACAUUUAAAAGCAAAAAACUUUCAACAACGGAUCUCUUGGUUCUGGCAUCGAUGAAGAACGCAGCGAAAUGCGAUAAGUAAUGCGAAUUGCAGAAUCCGUGAGUCAUCGAAUUUUGAACGCAUAUUGCGCCCUUUGGCAUUCCGAAGGGCAUGCCUGUUCGAGCGUCAUUAUCACCUCUCAAGCCUGGCUUGUAGUUGGAUCUUAGCUCUGGCUUUGAUGCCCUUGCUGGUCCCAAAGAUAAUGACGGCGUCUGUGAAUGACCCCCAGUACACUGAGCUCUCGUAGCACGUACUUGGUUGGAGUUCCGGACCCGGUCUAGCCAUAUAUAUUUUCUUAGGUUGACCUCGGAUCAGGUAGGGAU